GCUGCUGCAUUCUCUAGUCAGCCACACAUCCCUACACCGAAGCGAGUGUUGGGAAAGAUGAGAACCAAGCCACUACAAACAAUACUCGCAAUUAAAGGCAAAGUCUUCAUCACUUCGGCUAUUACAUCUUCAUGUGCAGGUAACAAACAAUCCCUAACACGCUUAUCAGAUAAUGCAAACACUGCAAAUACAAAAACAGACAUGAUUGCAUGUAUCGCAUCUGUGACCUUCAGUGUAUACUUAUCUCCCUUCUUAUAUUUUUCCUUAAGAUCAGAAGUGAAUAAUAACAACCCUUUUUUAGUCACAAUUCCAUAAUUUAGUUUUUCUCCAUCAUAAUAACAAUCUACCAAUUG